CUAUGGUCCGCCCAGGCGGACAAUAGGGAACCGUGUGAGAAUCACGGGCUGACGCGCAACUGUAAGCCUCACCGUCGGACGUCCGAAAAGCGGGAAGACGGAAGGGCUGCCGCACUAAGCCAUUGGGUCCUCCGGAGACCUGAGAAGGCGCGGCCGCCGGAGGCGAGCCAGGAGACCUGCCAUGGCC
rnacentral:ncRNA from 1 species